CAUAAGGAACGAAUACGAUGGGAGACUAUUCUAGGAAAAGAAAACAUAAAAACGUGCAUCAGUUUUUCGAGACAAUAUUCGACACUAUUAUGAAACAUUGAUCAUUACAUUUAUAAUUAACCUAAAAGGUCUUAAAGUUAUAGACAUAAUAAGAGCUUAUUUUAAACGUUUUCCAGAGUAACAACCAAGUUUAAGUUCAGUGCUAGAAAAUGCAUUCUACUCAUGAUUUUCUGCCAUGUUUUGGCCGUGUUGGUUUCGUAUCGAUAUUAAUUUCGUGCGGUUCUGGAUUUGUUUAUAAAUAAAACAAAUUAAAUUCAUAACUACAACUAAUGAGUUUAAUUUGUUUUGUUUAAAAACGUAUUCAGCACGGCCGGAACACGGUGAAAAAUUAACUCGUCAUAGAAUUGUAUAUAUACUCUAAAACUCCCCACGUUCGUAGUAGAUGGUAAAGAUGAAGCUAACAUUCUUCGUACUUAUAGUUUUGGUUUUGUCCUGGCAGAUACUAGCCAAGACCAUUGAGAAGCGUUCGAUCGAAGCAGAGCCAAUGCCUUUGGAACAAAGAGGGGCCUUAUGGUGGCCCAAUAACGGUUAACGGUGGAUAAUGAGGAUGUCAAAACAUAUUCACAAUUAAAGAUAAGGUGAUGCUGACUUUGUUAUUCGAAUAAAAAUAUGUAGUAAACCUGAAA